rnacentral:rRNA from 1 species
CCCUUAGAUGUUCUGGGCUGCACGCGCGCUACACUGACAUACUCAGCAAGUUUCCUUGCCUGAAAGGGUUGGGUAAUCUUGUUAGUGUAUGUCGUGAUGGGGAUAGAAUAUUGUAAUUAUUGCUCUUUAACGAGGAAUUCCUAGUAAGCGCAAGUCAUCAGCUUGCGUUGAUUACGUCCCUGCCCUUUGUACACACCGCCCGUCGCCCCUACCGAUUGGGUGAUCCGGUGAAUGAUUCGGACUCUGGCUAUGCUAGCUACUAGCUACGUCAGGGAAAGUUUUGUGAACCUUAUCACUUGGAGGAAGGAGAAGUCGUAACA